UGAGUAACCUGCCCUAGGCUUUGGGAUAACCCUCGGAAACGGGGGCUAAUACUGGAUAUUCCCGCGGGAUCGCAUGGUUUUGUGGGGAAAGGUUUUCCGGCUUGGGAUGGGCUCGCGGCCUAUCAGCUUGUUGGUGGGGUGAUGGCCUACCAAGGCGACGACGGGUAGCCGGCCUGAGAGGGCGACCGGCCACACUGGGACUGAGACACGGUCCAGACUCCUACGGGAGGCAG
rnacentral:rRNA from 1 species